rnacentral:rRNA from 1 species
GACGAACGCUGGCGGCGUGCUUAACACAUGCAAGUCGAGCGGAAAGGCCCUUUCGGGGGUACUCGAGCGGCGAACGGGUGAGUAACACGUGAGUAAUCUGCCCCUGGCUUUGGGAUAGCCACCGGAAACGGUGAUUAAUACCGGAUACGACCACUUCUCGCAUGGGAUGGUGGUGGAAAGUUUUUCGGCCAGGGAUGUGCUCGCGGCCUAUCCGCUUGAUAGUGAGGUAAUGGCUCACCAUGGCUUCGACGGGUAGCCGGCCUGAGAGGGUGACCGGUCACACUGGGACUGAGGCACGGCCCAGACUCCUACGGGAGGCAGCAGUGGGGAAUAUUGGACAAUGGGCGGAAGCCUGAUCCAGCAACGCCGCGUGAGGGAUGACGGCCUUCGGGUUGUAAACCUCUUUCAGCAGGGACGAAGCGCAAGUGACGGUACCUGCAGAAGAAGCACCGGCCAACUACGUGCCAGCCGCCGCGGUAA